UCUUCUCGACAGUUAACAUAAUUACCAUGAAUGAUUUAUCUUUCACUUGGUUAUUAUUAGUCAAAAGUCCACAAAGCUAGGUUGGUGAGGAUGAUAGUAACGUUUGCACAGUGGUUGGUCUGUUAUGAUGCUGAAAUGGCUAACGCUAGCCUGCUAGUUAGCGUCGUUUUACUGUUGGUCCAGAAAGUGUCUCUGCUGGUCUCUCUGUGUGCCUGCUGAAGACAGCCGUGUUGUCCAUCGGUCUGAUCAUCAUGGUGGCUGCUGUCAUCACUGUUCACCUCAUGGUGAAGCUCAAGAAGCAUGAAUAAAAACUUAAAGUUAAAGGUACACUGUGCAGCUUUUCACCACUAAUAGCACCAUGAAACAGUUUUUUUUUUUUAUGAGAGUCCCUGUUUUGUUUGUAUUGUGCAUGCAGCCAUGCUCGAGCCCUCAGAGGGAUGUACAAUCCUCCCACUGAUGUCAUGCUGUUCCACUGAUUGACAGUAGGUGGCAGUAACACACCAGGAAAUGCACCAACAAAGCAGAGGAGGAAGAAGGCUGCCAGCCAGAACACAUGGCUGUAAACAAUAUAAGAUGUAAAAAACAUUUGUACAAAAUCUGGGAAAAAUGAAUUUCAACUCAUUUGUAAAGCUUAAAUGAUACUUUAAAUUCAAUUUUGCAAGUAUAACUUCAUGUAAAUAAUGUUUCUUUCCAAGAAAACUCCACAGGGCACCUUUUACGCAAAUGCUUAUGAUUCCUAAUUAUCCAUUGAUUAUACCCAAUAAUCACCGUGCUCACUUUGUAAAAAACAAAUAGGCCUAUUGGACAGAGAUGUUCCAAAAUACUUUAAGAGCAUAUAAUCUCCUUAACAAAAAACAACAUUUAUAUUUAUAUGAUAAAGAGCAAAGAUACAAGAACUAGCCUUGAUGUAACCCUGAAUGUUAUUAACAAUGUUCUAACAAUAUAUAUGUGUAUGUUUAUUUGUACAGUAUUUUAUUAUAUUUAUCAUCUUUGGGUGACUGCAGUUUCUGCUACAUGCACCAUUAUCAGAGAUUCAUUAAAGCUAUACUCAUAAUAUUUUGUGGAGAUUUUGUGAAUUCAUGAAAAGAUCACGGCCACUGACUCCCAUUUAAAUCUGUGAACAAAAUUUGGGAAAAUAUGAAUUCCAACACAUUUGUAAAGCUUCAAGGUUUUUUACAAUGCAAUUUGGCGAGUACAAAAUCUUGUAAAUCUUGAUUAUUCAUUGAUUAUACACAAUAAUCAAUGUGCUCACUUUGUAAAUAAAAUUAUUGUUUGUUUAUUGUU